GACAGAGGUCCCGAGCGUUAGGCGGAAUCACUGGGCUUAAAGCGUGUGUAGGCGGAUUGGUAAGUACCUUGUGAAAUCCCACGGCUUAACCGUGGAACUGCUUGGUAUACUGCUUAUCUUGGGCCACUUAGGGGUUACCGGAACAAACGGUGGAGCGGUGAAAUGCGUAGAUAUCGUUUGGAACGCCAAUGGUGAAAACAGGUAACUGGGAGUGUGCCGACGCUGAGACACGAAAGCCAGGGGAGCGAGCGGG
rnacentral:rRNA from 1 species